UUUAGCAAACGACGACCUCUUAUUUCUUUCCCAUUCCAGAUUGUUCUUUUUGUCUCUCUCUUCUCUUCUUCCUCACCAAUCUCUCCAAACCCCAACUCGAUCCAAAUAUCAACAAGAAGAAGCACCCUCUCGAGAGUUAAACCACGAACGAUGAAGAACUUGUACUAAUUUCAUUCAUUUCACUUGAUGAUAUUCCAAUUACAAUCAUAACCCUAUAAGUAUCCCAUUCUCUCUUGCUUACGACUAAAGCCUUCUCUUUCAUCCUCGGAGCUUUCAGAAUAUCAAGAAAUGCUCACUUUUCUUCAUCCUUUCAACUGACAUAUAAAAACAUACUCUCUUUUCCAAAACAGAAGUAGAAUCAUGGGCUAUUCGCCAAAACAAAACAACCUUCUAUUCUCCUUCUUCAACUUUUUAAGCGGCCACUUUCAGCGCCAACAUAACUGUGAGCUUUAAUUGAUACAUGGCCACUGGGAAUCGUGGUUCCUCAAGGCUGCCGGGAAAUCGUGGUUCCUCAAGGCUGCCAUGCCUCCAACUCUGUCAUUUGGACUCACAAGGACAAUUCAAUGUUGCAGCCCUUCCAAUACUGAUACAAUGCACACGGGGUACAUAUACUACUCUUCAGUUGAUGCAUGCCUCAGACCUGAUUAUUUACCACACGUUGAGAAGUUGAUUUGUCUAAGGCUUUAAGCAUUUGGUCUACCUCAAUGCCAACAAUGAUCUGCAACAAUUCUCCAAGGUGUCUUUGUAAUCUAGAGCAAAGAUGAUUGCACCAAGUUCAAGAAGUGCUUACCAUGGUAAACAAGAAGAAUCCGUAGAAUUAUGACUAAAGUGUUGCAGGAAUACACCCGACAAUAACAUUCUACCGACUGCUUCAAUUGACAUGGCACCAUAUCUCGGUCCACGUUUAUCUAAGAUUUCAGAUUGAAAUAGUUUCAUAUCAAGACAGAUAUGCAUUUAAUUUUUAACUAUUCAGUUUUUGUACACAAGUUUGUAAUUAUGAGUUAUGAUCCAAGUACGAGUACAUGAAGAUAACUUUUGAAUGUGCUACUAAAAUAACUUGUGUUGAUAAUCAAUUGUGUUGGGCC